rnacentral:rRNA from 1 species
CCGUUCGGGCAGCCUAUAAUGCAGUCGGACGGUGUCUUCGGACAUAGUGGCGCACGGGUGCGUAACACGUAUGCAGCCUACCUUACAUUGGGGGAUAGCCUUUCGAAAGGGAGAUUAAUACCGCAUAAGACAGUAGUCUGGCAUCAGACAGCUGUUAAAGAUUUAUCGAUGUAAGCUGGGCAUGCGUCCAAUUAGUUAGUUGGCGAGGUAACGGCUCACCAAGACUAUGAUUGGUAGGGGAACUGAGAGGUCAAUCCCCCACACUGGCACUGAGAUACGGGCCAGACUCCUACGGGAGGCAGCAGUAGGGAAUAUUGGGCAAUGGACGCAAGUCUGACCCAGCCAUGCCGCGUGCAGGAAGAAGGCGUUAUGCGUUGUAAACUGCUUUUAUACAGGAAGAAACGACUCUUGCGAGAGGCAUUGACGGUACCAGACGAAUAAGCACCGGCUAACUCCGUGCCAGCAGCUGCGGUAAUACGGAGGGUGCAAGCGUUAUCCGGAAUCACUGGGUUUAAAGGGUGCGUAGGCGGCCAGAUAAGUCAGAGGUGAAAGUUUCCGGCUCAACCGGGAGAUUGCCUUUGAUACUGUUUGGCUUGAAUCAGAUUGAGGUUGGCGGAAUGUGACAUGUAGCGGUGAAAUGCAUAGAUAUGUCAUAGAACAUCGAUUGCGAAGGCAGCUGGCUGGAUCUGUAUUGACGCUGAGGCACGAAAGCGUGGGGAGCAAACAGGAUUAGAUACCCUGGUAGUCCACGCCCUAAACGAUGUUUACUCGACAUGGGAUCUACGGAUUCUGUGUCCAAGCGAAAGCGUUAAGUAAACCACCUGGGGAGUACGUUCGCAAGAAUGAAACUCAAAGGAAUUGACGG